UCGUCUUCGUACGCAGCUCUUGUUAUCCGAAUUCCCCAGGCAGGACGGACGGAUAAAUCGUUGCGGAAAUAAUCCGGGGAAGCCAGGGAUCGAACCCACGACCUUUAGGAAUAAUAUCCGGUUAAAAUUCUAAGAAACCUCCAUUGACAAUGAGCAAAUGCGACAGGGGGGAAUAGCUCAUUGUCAAUGGAGGUGUAUUAGAAUUUUAACUGGAUAUUAUUUUCAAUUUAAUAUUGCCUUCUCGCGUUAUCCGGCUGAUUGGUCCCGCCAUUCUUUUCGACGAAUUCAAAAACAGUCACGCGACACCUGAAAAGAAAGGAUAUCCGGAUGAAGAGGACCCGCGGUUCGGUUAAAUAACCGGAUCGUGCAGUGUAAGCACAACAACCCGUGAGCCCAAUCAGCCGGAUAACGUGAGAAGGCAAUAUUAACUGUAAGUUAGGAACCAUAUCCGGUUAAAAUUCUAAUAAACCUCCAUUGACAAUGAGCUAUUCCUUCAAGUGUUAGUGGUGAUACCCAAAUGGAGUGUGUUGGACCUUUCGGGGACCGGCAUGGGCCGUUGGUUGGGCUGCCCUUGCUGUACUGGAGAGAAUUGUUUAUGCGAUGAACAAUUAACUCACAGUCAGAACUGGAGCGGACAAGGGGAAUCCGACUGUUUAAUUAAAACAAAGCAUUGUGAUGGACGAGACGGUGUUGACACAAUGUGAUUUCUGCCCAGUGCUCUGAAUGUCAAAGUGAAGAGAUUCAACCAAGCGCGGGUAAACGGCGGGAGUAACUAUGACUCUCUUAAGGUAGCCAAAUGCCUCGUCAUCUAACUAGUGACGCGCAUGAAUGGAUUAAUGAGAUUCCCACUGUCCCUAUCUACUGUCUAGCGAACCCACAGCCAAGGGAACGGGCUUGGAAAAAUCAGCGGGGAAAGAAGACCCUGUUGAGCUUGACUCUAGUCUGACGUUGUGAAAUGACUUAGGAGGUGUAGAAUAAGCGGGAGCUCCGGCGCAAGUGAAAUACCGCUACUUCUAAUGUUGUUUUACUGUCCCAUCAAGUAGCGCCUGGCCAUCCUCGCGGGUGCCCAGUUCUAGAUUGAAGCUCGAUUUAUCGGGUGAGCUACGUGGAAGACAUCGUCAGGUGGGGAGUUUGGCUGGGUGAGAAGUGUACAUUAAACUUAAUGGGGUUGAGUUGCUAUGCCAGCAACCUAUAAGUGCAAUUAACUAGUAUCUACUUGGAGGCAGUCAUGGCAUCUUGGUUGGCCGACUUCUUACGGGCUUUUUUGGCGCCCUUGGAGAGUGACGGGGGUUGGAGUACCAGGGAAAGGAUGUAGAUCACUUGGU
rnacentral:rRNA from 1 species